AAAGUGGAGUGCAGCCAAGGAUGACUUGCCGGCAUGUUUAUGAAGAAGGAGUAAUUAGUAAUACUUUAAUUUCUUCAGUGCUGGCAAGUUGUUCUUGGCUAUAUUUUGCUUUCU